rnacentral:snRNA from 1 species
GUGCUCACUUUGGCAGCACAUUUACUAAAAUUAGAAUGACACAGAGAUCAGCAUGGCCCCUGUGCAAAGAUGACACACAAAUUCAUAAAAUGUUAUUUUU